rnacentral:rRNA from 1 species
UGGGGAAUCUUCCGCAAUGGGCGGAAGCCUGACGGAGCAACGCCGCGUGAGUGAAGACGGCCUUCGGGUUGUAAAGCUCUGUUAUAUGGGACGAACGGGUGUAUGGUCAAUACCCAUACGCCGUGACGGUACCGUAAGAGAAAGCCACGGCUAACUACGUGCCAGCAGCCGCGGUAAUACGUAGGUGGCAAGCGUUGUCCGGAAUCAUUGGGCGUAAAGGGCGCGCAGGCGGUUCGGUAAGUCGGUCUUAAAAGUGCGGGGCUUAACCCCGUGAUGGGAUUGAAACUGCCGGACUGGAGUGUCGGAGAGGAAAGCAGAAUUCCUAGUGUAGCGGUGAAAUGCGUAGAUAUUAGGAGGAAUACCAGUGGCGAAAGCGGCUUUCUGGACGACAACUGACGCUGAGGCGCGAAAGCCAGGGGAGCAAACGGGAUUAGAUACCCCGGUAG